rnacentral:rRNA from 1 species
AUUGAACGCUGGCGGCAGGCCUAACACAUGCAAGUCGAGCGGAUGAAGGGAGCUUGCUCCUGGAUUCAGCGGCGGACGGGUGAGUAAUGCCUAGGAAUCUGCCUGGUAGUGGGGGAUAACGUCCGGAAACGGGCGCUAAUACCGCAUACGUCCUGAGGGAGAAAGUGGGGGAUCUUCGGACCUCACGCUAUCAGAUGAGCCUAGGUCGGAUUAGCUAGUUGGUGGGGUAAAGGCCUACCAAGGCGACGAUCCGUAACUGGUCUGAGAGGAUGAUCAGUCACACUGGAACUGAGACACGGUCCAGACUCCUACGGGAGGCAGCAGUGGGGAAUAUUGGACAGUGGGCGAAAGCCUGAUCCAGCCAUGGCGCGUGUGUGAAGAAGGUCUUCGGAUUGUAAAGCACUUUAAGUUGGGAGGAAGGGCAGUAAGUUAAUACCUUGCUGUUUUGACGGUACCAACAGAAUAAGCACCGGCUAACUUCGUG